CUACGGGCGGCAGCAGUGGGGAAUAUUGGACAAUGGGCGCAAGCCUGAUCCAGCAAUGCCGCGUGAGUGAAGACGGCCUUAGGGUUGUAAAACUCUUUCGCUAGGGAAGAUAAUGACUGUACCUAGUAAAGAAGUCCCGGCUAACUCCGUGCCAGCAGCCGCGGUAAUACGGAGGGGACUAGCGUUGUUCGGAAUUACUGGGCGUAAAGAGUUCGUAGGCGGACUGACAAGUUAGAGGUGAAAUCCCAGGGCUCAACCCUGGAACUGCCUUUAAAACUGUCAGUCUAGAGACCGGAAGAGGUUAGGCGAAGACCUAGUGUAGAGGUGAAAUUCGUAGAUAUUAGGUGGAACACCAGUGGCGAAGGCGCCUAACUGGUCCGGUACUGACGCUGAGGAACGAAAGCGUCGGGAGCAAACACGAUUAGAUACCCCAGUAGUC
rnacentral:rRNA from 1 species